UACGUAGGGUGCGAGCGUUGUCCGGAAUUAUUGGGCGUAAAGAGCUUGUAGGCGGUCUGUCGCGUCUGCUGUGAAAAUCCGGGGCUCAACCCCGGACUUGCAGUGGGUACGGGCAGACUAGAGUGUGGUAGGGGAGACUGGAAUCCUGGUGUAGCGGUGAAAUGCGUAGAUAUCGGGGAGGAACAUCAGUGGCGAAGGCGGCUACCUGGCCCAAUACUGACACUCAGGUGCGACAGCGUGGGGAGCAAACAGG
rnacentral:rRNA from 1 species